CCCUAGUAACGGCGAGUGAAGCGGCAACAGCUCAAAUUUGAAAUCUGGCGUCUUUGGCGUCCGAGUUGUAAUUUGCAGAGGGCGCUUUGGCAUUGGCAGCGGUCCAAGUUCCUUGGAACAGGACGUCACAGAGGGUGAGAAUCCCGUACGUGGUCGCUAGCCUUUACCGUGUAAAGCCCCUUCGACGAGUCGAGUUGUUUGGGAAUGCAGCUCUAAAUGGGAGGUAAAUUUCUUCUAAAGCUAAAUACUGGCCAGAGACCGAUAGCGCACAAGUAGAGUGAUCGAAAGAUGAAAAGCACUUUGGAAAGAGAGUUAAAAAGCACGUGAAAUUGUUGAAAGGGAAGCGCUUGCAGCCAGACUUGCCUGUAGUUGCUCAUCCGGGUUUCUACCCGGUGCACUCUUCUACGGGCAGGCCAGCAUCAGUUUGGGCGGUUGGAUAAAGGUCUCUGUCAUGUACCUCCUCUCGGGGAGAUCUUAUAGGGGAGACGACAUGCAACCAGCCUGGACUGAGGUCCGCGCAUCUGCUAGGAUGCUGGCGUAAUGGCUGUAAGCGGCCCGUCUUGAAACACGGACCAAGGAGUCUAACAUCUAUGCGAGUGUUUGGGUGUCAAGCCCGAGCGCGUAAUGAAAGUGAACGGAGGUGGGAACCUUUCGGGGUGCACCAUCGACCGAUCCUGAUGUCUUCGGAUGGAUUUGAGUAAGAGCAUAGCUGUUGGGACCCGAAAGAUGGUGAACUAUGCUUGAAUAGGGUGAAGCCAGAGGAAACUCUGGUGGAGGCUCGCAGCGGUUCUGACGUGCAAAUCGAUCGUCAAAUUUGGGCAUAGGGGCGAAAGACUAAUCGAACUAUCUAGUAGCUGGUUCCUGCCGAAGUUUCCCUCAGGAUAGCAGUAACGUUUUCAGUUUUAUGAGGUAAAGCGAAUGAUUAGAGGCCUGGGGGUUGAAACAACCUU
rnacentral:rRNA from 1 species